AAAAAAGGUAAGCUACUAAGAGCGAAUGGUGGAUGCCUUGACUGGUAAAGGCGAUGAAGGACGUACUAGACUGCGAUAAGCUACGGGGAGCUGUCAAGAAGCUUUGAUCCGUAGAUUUCCGAAUGGGGCAACCCAAUGUAUAGAGAUAUACAUUACCUAUAUAGGAGCGAACGAGGGGAAUUGAAACAUCUUAGUACCCUCAGGAAAAGAAAUCAAUAGAGAUUGCGUCAGUAGCGGCGAGCGAAAGCGCAAGAGGGCAAACCCAGUGCUUGCACUGGGGGUUGUAGGACUGCAAUGUGCAAGAGCUGAGUUUAGCAGAACAUUCUGGAAAGUAUAGCCAUAGAGGGUGAUAGUCCCGUAUGCGAAAAACAAAGCUUAGCUAGCAGUAUCCUGAGUAGGGCGGGACACGAGGAAUCCUGUCUGAAUCCGGGUCGACCACGAUCCAACCCUAAAUACUAAUACCAGAUCGAUAGUGCACAAGUACCGUGAGGGAAAGGUGAAAAGAACUGAGGUGAUCAGAGUGAAAUAGAACCUGAAACCAUUUGCUUACAAUCAUUCAGAGCACUAUGUAGCAAUACAGUGUGAUGGACUGCCUUUUGCAUAAUGAGCCUGCGAGUUGUGGUGUCUGGCAAGGUUAAGCAAACGCGAAGCCGUAGCGAAAGCGAGUCUGAAUAGGGCGCUUAGUCAGAUGCUGCAGACCCGAAACGAAGUGAUCUAUCCAUGAGCAAGUUGAAGCUAGUGUAAGAACUAGUGGAGGACUGAACCCAUAGGCGUUGAAAAGCCCCGGGAUGACUUGUGGAUAGGGGUGAAAGGCCAAUCAAACUUCGUGAUAGCUGGUUCUCUCCGAAAUAUAUUUAGGUAUAGCGUUGUGUCGUAAUAUAAGGGGGUAGAGCACUGAAUGGGCUAGGGCAUACACCAAUGUACCAAACCCUAUCAAACUCCGAAUACCUUAUAUGUAAUCACAGCAGUCAGGCGGCGAGUGAUAAAAUCCGUCGUCAAGAGGGAAACAACCCAGACUACCAGCUAAGGUCCCUAAAUCUUACUUAAGUGGAAAACGAUGUGAAGUUACUUAAACAACCAGGAGGUUGGCUUAGAAGCAGCCAUCCUUUAAAGAAAGCGUAAUAGCUCACUGGUCUAGUGAUUUUGCGCGGAAAAUAUAACGGGGCUAAAGUAAGUACCGAAGCUGUAGACUUGCGCACAACUUAGAUUAUUUAAGUUUAGAAUAUGAGAAACUAAGUUAUGUUUAGUUAUAUUUUUACUGAUUUUUAUAGAGUAAAGAUAGAAAUAAAACUUAGUAAAAUCAGUAAAAAUAUUCUUAGGCUAAAGUUAAGUAGUUUAAGUUGUGUGCAAGUGGUAGGAGAGCGUUCUAUUUGCGUCGAAGGUAUACCGGUAAGGAGUGCUGGAGCGAAUAGAAGUGAGCAUGCAGGCAUGAGUAGCGAUAAUUAAUGUGAGAAUCAUUAACGCCGUAAACCCAAGGUUUCCUACGCGAUGCUCGUCAUCGUAGGGUUAGUCGGGUCCUAAGUCGAGUCCGAAAGGGGUAGACGAUGGCAAAUUGGUUAAUAUUCCAAUACCAACAUUAGUGUGCGAUGGAAGGACGCUUAGGGCUAAGGGGGCUAGCGGAUGGAAGUGCUAGUCUAAGGUCGUAGGAGGUUAUACAGGCAAAUCCGUAUAACAAUACUCCGAGAACUGAAAGGCUUUUUGAAGUCUUCGGAUGGAUAGAAGAACCCCUGAUGCCGUCGAGCCAAGAAAAGUUUCUAAGUUUAGCUAAUGUUGCCCGUACCGUAAACCGACACAGGUGGGUGGGAUGAGUAUUCUAAGGCGCGUGGAAGAACUCUCUUUAAGGAACUCUGCAAAAUAGCACCGUAUCUUCGGUAUAAGGUGUGGUUA
rnacentral:rRNA from 1 species